rnacentral:rRNA from 1 species
GACGAACGCUGGCGGCGUGCCUAAUACAUGCAAGUCGAGCGAGCUUGCCUAGAUGAAUUUGGUGCUUGCACCAGAUGAAACUAGAUACNNGCGAGCGGCGGACGGGUGAGUAACACGUGGGUAACCUGCCCAAGAGACUGGGAUAACACCUGGAAACAGAUGCUAAUACCGGAUAACAACACUAGACGCAUGUCUAGAGUUUAAAAGAUGGUUCUGCUAUCACUCUUGGAUGGACCUGCGGUGCAUUAGCUAGUUGGUAAGGUAACGGCUUACCAAGGCAAUGAUGCAUAGCCGAGUUGAGAGACUGAUCGGCCACAUUGGGACUGAGACACGGCCCAAACUCCUACGGGAGGCAGCAGUAGGGAAUCUUCCACAAUGGACGCAAGUCUGAUGGAGCAACGCCGCGUGAGUGAAGAAGGGUUUCGGCUCGUAAAGCUCUGUUGGUAGUGAAGAAAGAUAGAGGUAGUAACUGGCCUUUAUUUGACGGUAAUUACUUAGAAAGUCACGGCUAACUACGUGCCAGCAGCCGCGGUAAUACGUAGGUGGCAAGCGUUGUCCGGAUUUAUUGGGCGUAAAGCGAGUGCAGGCGGUUCAAUAAGUCUGAUGUGAAAGCCUUCGGCUCAACCGGAGAAUUGCAUCAGAAACUGUUGAACUUGAGUGCAGAAGAGGAGAGUGGAACUCCAUGUGUAGCGGUGGAAUGCGUAGAUAUAUGGAAGAACACCAGUGGCGAAGGCGGCUCUCUGGUCUGCAACUGACGCUGAGGCUCGAAAGCAUGGGUAGCGAACAGG